CCUCGUGAUCCACCCGCCUUGGCCUCCCAAACUGCUGGGAUUACAGGCAUGAGCCACCACGCCCAGCCACGACAUCCAAGGUUUUUACCUCCCACAUGAGUCAGUACAUGCAACAUUUAUCUUUCUGUACUUGGUUUAUCUCACUUAACAUAAUGACCUCCAGUUUCAUCCAUGUUGCUACAAAUGACAGGAUUUCAUUCUUUUUAUGGCUGAGUAAUAUUCCAUUGUAUGUAUAUGCCACAUUUUCUUUAUCCUUUCAUCCAUAAAUAAUAGGCAUUUAGGUUGAUUCUAUAUUUUGGCUAUUGUGAAGAAGAAACUGGUUUUAAAGUCAUGCAUGACCUGGCCUUCACUGUCCCAUGAGUUUCAAGCCACUCCCCACAUCUCAUUCCACCCACAGCUCUUGACCCCUGUGCUAGUCUGUUACUGUUCUGAUUAUUCACUGCCUCUUCCUAUGGGAGGAUUUGACUUCCUGUCCCACUGAUGUCAGCCUUGGCCACAUGACCUGACUUGCUUUGACUCAUCAGCCAGAUACUAGUAGUGAAAUAUUAGUGGAAGAGACAUGUUCCCUUCCUCAGCAGAAGCUUUAAGAGUCAUCUGUGGCUUUGACACCUAACUCAUUCCUCCUUCAUGAGUUUAGCAUGUCCCAGAUAGGGGCUGUCCUUCAGCCUAGGCCCUGCAACGAAGCGUCAUGGAGUGGAGCAAAACAUAAAACAUGUCCACAGUGGACAUGUGGCUUGAAUGAAAAGUAAAUCUUUGCUUUUGUGGGUUCCUGAAAUUUAGGAGGAAUAGCUAGCAAUAGCUGACUAGUGUGUCCACCAGUGCAUUAGCCAAGCUUUCUCCCUACUUCCAGACCUACCCUUCUUGGCUCUUGUCCCCUCCUGAUGUCAGCAUAGAUGCAACUUUGUGAAAUCAGAACUCCUUCUUUCCCUGCAAAAAGAAAAAAAUACUAGCCUAGGUGCUAGUAGGCAGAAUAAUGCUCCCCACAAAGACGACUGUGCCCUCAUCACUGAAACCUGUAAAUAUGUCAUCUUAGAGGGCAAAGUUGGUGUUGCAGAUACGGUUAAGGGUCACAAAAUAUGGAGAUUAUCCUGAAUUACCCCACAGGGAUCCUUAAAAGAUGGAAAAGGAAGCAGAAGAAUCAGAGAAGAUGAGGCAGUGGAAGCAGAGGUUACAGCAAUGCCGUUCUUGGCUUUGAAGGCAGAGGAAGGAAGGGGCUCUGAGCCACAGACUACAGGAAGCCUCUAGAAGCUGAAAAAGGUGAGGAAACAGAUUCUCCCCUAAAGCCUUUGAAAAGAAAUGCAGUCCUGCUGACACCUUGAUUUUAGCCCAGUGAGACCCGCUCCAGACUUCUGAUCUCUAGAAAUGCAGGAGAAUACAUUUGUGUUGUUUUAAGCCUCUAAGCUUGUGGUAAUUUGUUACAGCAGCCAUAGAAUAUGGGCGUGGCAUCCCUCCCUGGCGAGGAGCUCCCAGAGCACCCUCAUCACAGUCCUUGUGCUUCACAGGGUUGUGUCUUCACUUCUCCCCGGCCAGCUGGACUCCAAGCUUGACCUUUCUACACUUCCACGGUUGUCUCUUCAGAGCCCAGAAUAGUGCAAGGAACUUACUCUUGGAACAGACACUUCAUCAGCCACCCAAGCAGGAAACUGCCUUUCUGCAGAAGGGGGAGGAACUACUCUAGCUUUUCUGUGCAUUUCCAUCCUGGAGUGCUCAGGACUUCUCAGGUUUUAAGCAGGAAAUACACAAUUGACACUGGCAGGGAAAUCCAGUUCCACCUAAUUUCAGGUGUGUUCACAUUCAGUGGCUCAAACACUGUAAGCUUUCUCCUCUUAGCUCUUUGUUGUGUCAGCUUAACUCACAGGCAGCUAGUCCUCAAAGAUGACCACAUCAUUUAAUUCACAUCCAGUCAGCUUGGCAGCCUCACGGAAAAAGAAUGCUGCCUUUUCCCAGUACAUCCAGCAAAAAGCCCCGGGCUUGGUGUAUGUUGGCUCUGGUUGGACUAACUAAGACAUGUGCCCACUAGUCCCUGGGAACAGGUGGAUGUGGUUCAUAUGCCUCAUCCAGACCUCAUGAGCCGAAAGGAGGAGAGCUGAGCACUAAAAGGAAAUAAGGUUGGUCCCAGGUGGAGAAGAUGGAACAGAAGCUGAAUUAAAACAGCAACCAUCCAGACCAUGGAUAUGUAUAUUCAUAUUGCAGACAAUGGAAUAUGGAAUUGCAUAUUCAUUUGGAUCCAUAUCCAUGUAUCUAUUGUUGACAUAACAAUGUAACAGUAUUACAGUAAAUACCUCCCAUAAACUUUGCAACAUGUUUAUGAAAAUAAACAUGAUGGCCAGGUGGGGCGACUCAGGCCUACAAUCCCAGC